rnacentral:rRNA from 1 species
GUGAGGAAUUUUCCGCAAUGGGCGAAAGCCUGACGGAGCAAUGCCGCGUGAAGGAUGAAGGCCUAUGGGUUGUAAACUUCUUUUCUUAGAGAAGAAUAUUGACGGUAUCUGAGGAAUAAGCAUCGGCUAACUCUGUGCCAGCAGCCGCGGUAAUACGGAGGGUGCGAGCGUUGUCCGGAUUUAUUGGGUUUAAAGGGGGCGUAGGCUGGAAGGUCAGUCAGCGGUGAAAAGCUGUCGCUUAACGAUAGUCUUGCCGCCAAUACUUCCUUUCUUGGAUGAGGAGGAGGCCACUGGAACGGAUGGUGUAGCGGUGAAAUGCAUAGAUAUCAUCCAGAACACCGAUUGCGAAGGCAGGUGGCUGUACCUUAAUCGACGCUGAUGCACGAAAGCAUGGGGAGCAAACAGGAUUAGAAACCCCGGUAGUCC